ensembl:lncRNA
UGAUCAAAUAAAGUGUUAGCUCACUUUUCUUACUUCCUCAUUCACAUGAAGUGGUUGGUUGUCAGUGAUUAUAUAAAGACCUGUUGUUUUCACACUCUUCAGUGGAUCAGCCAUGGACAAAGGUUUGCUGCUGGUCCUGUUGUGUCUGCAGGUCGUCCUGCUCACCACAGUCUUCACUUCUGCUGAUGCAGCCGCUCUGCUGAGAGAUGAUCAGCAUCAACAACCUGUUGAUCCAAUCAGAAGUCUGCAGCAAGUGAAAAAAGGAGGACAGACGGAGCAGAAACUUCCAUACUGGAUAUUCUGUGGGAGGAGACGAGGAGGAUGCACUUUGACAGGACGUGUGCAACCUCCUGAACCAUCUUUUGACCACAUCAAGUCACACUCAAUAGACAUCUUGAGUCAAGCUCUGCAGGAAGUGCCAUUAGAUGCAAAAGACAGAAAAUGAAUGAAGAUAAUUGUAAUGCUUACAAAUCAAUGCAAGUGCUUUUUAUCAGAAAUAAAAGAUUUCAAAUCAGAUAUUGUGUUUUUCUAUCUUUCUUUUUUUUAACACCUCACAGUUGUGGAUGGUGACCAAAACAAACAGGACUCGCUGUCUUCUGACUGAAUCCUGCAAAAUCUUUCAUAUUACAAAGAGUGACAUUGUGCAAAAUAGGUUGAUUUUGUACCUCAGUUCAAUAUUCUCUAUAACCGAGGGUGAUAUGAAG